GUGGGGAAUAUUGGACAAUGGGCGAAAGCCUGAUCCAGCAAUGCCGCGUGAGUGAUGAAGGCCUUAGGGUUGUAAAGCUCUUUUACCAGGGAUGAUAAUGACAGUACCUGGAGAAUAAGCUCCGGCUAACUCCGUGCCAGCAGCCGCGGUAAUACGGAGGGAGCUAGCGUUGUUCGGAAUUACUGGGCGUAAAGCGCACGUAGGCGGUUACUCAAGUCAGAGGUGAAAGCCCGGGGCUCAACCCCGGAACUGCCUUUGAAACUAGGUAACUAGAAUCUUGGAGAGGUCAGUGGAAUUCCGAGUGUAGAGGUGAAAUUCGUAGAUAUUCGGAAGAACACCAGUGGCGAAGGCGACUGACUGGACAAGCAUUGACGCUGAGGUGCGAAAGCGUGGGGAGCAAACAGGAUUAGAUACCCCGGUAGUCC
rnacentral:rRNA from 1 species